UUGGACAAUGGAGGCAACUCUGAUCCAGCCAUGCCGCGUGAAGGAAUAAGGCCCUAUGGGUUGUAAACUUCUUUUAGACGGGACAAAACCCCUUUACGUGUAAAGGGUUGAUGGUACUGUCAGAAUAAGCAUCGGCUAACUUCGUGCCAGCAGCCGCGGUAAUACGAAGGAUGCAAGCGUUAUCCGGAAUUAUUGGGUUUAAAGGGUGCGUAGGCGGACUAAUAAGUCAGUGGUGAAAGCCUGCAGCUUAACUGCAGAAUUGCCAUUGAUACUGUUAGUCUUGAGUACAGUUGAGGUAGGCGGAAUGUGGCAUGUAGCGGUGAAAUGCUUAGAUAAGACACAGAACACCGAUUUCGAAGGCAGCUUGCUAAGCUGUAACUGACGCUGAGGCACGAACGCGUGGGGAGCAAACA
rnacentral:rRNA from 1 species